UAGAGUUUGAUUCUGGCUCAGGACGAACGCUGGCGGCAGGCCUAACACAUGCAAGUCGAACGAGAAGUAGGUCUUCGGGCUUAUGGACAGUGGCGGACGGGUGAGUAACGCGUGGGUACUUGCCUCUCGGUACGGGACAACCCCGGGAAACUGGGGCUAAUACCGUAUAUACCGAUCUUGGUGGUUCUUGAUCGGGAAAGAUUUAUCGCCGAGAGAUAGACCCGCGUCCGAUUAGCUAGUUGGUGUGGUAACGGCGCACCAAGGCUUCGAUCGGUAGCUGGUUUGAGAGGAUGAUCAGCCACACUGGGACUGAGACACGGCCCAGACUCCUACGGGAGGCAGCAGUGGGGAAUAUUGGACAAUGGGCGCAAGCCUGAUCCAGCCAUGCCGCGUGAGUGAAGAAGGCCCUAGGGUUGUAAAACUCUUUCACCGAUGAAGAUAAUGACGGUAGUCGGAGAAGAAGCCCCGGCUAACUCCGUGCCAGCAGCCGCGGUAAUACA
rnacentral:rRNA from 1 species